rnacentral:rRNA from 1 species
AGCGUUGUCCGGAAUUAUUGGGCGUAAAGCGCUCGUAGGCGGUCUGUCGCGUCGGCUGUGAAAACCCGGAGCUCAACUCCGGGCCUGCAGUCGAUACGGGCAGACUGGAGUUCGGCAGGGGAGACUGGAAUUCCCGGUGUAGCGGUGAAAUGCGCAGAUAUCGGGAGGAACACCGGUGGCGAAGGCGGUUCUCUGGGCCUGUACUGACGCUGAGGAGCGAAAGCGUGGGGAGCGAACAGG